GAAGGUAUAGCACAGUGGUAGGGUUUGUGCUUAGCAUGCACAAGUUCCUGGGUUCGAUCCCUAGUACCAUUA
rnacentral:tRNA from 1 species